rnacentral:lncRNA from 1 species
CUGCCCCCCCCCCCGCUUGCCCCCGGUCUCUCUUUUUAAGCUCUCCUGAGCCGGGGCUGCGCUUCUCUAAUUGGGAGUGUGAGCCGGGGCUAUUUCUGGAGCUGGCGCCACUCCAAGAGGGCAUCCGCAUUUGCAACAAGCGGCGGCGGCGGCGGCGGCGGCGAGGAGCCCGAGCAGGGAAGCUUAGCGAGGUCAUUCGCUCGCAGUCCGCGUUGCUCCCCCGCAACCCGGAGCUACGCACCCAAGCCGGCCCGCUGCCGGAAGUAGAAACACACAGCUUUGUCUGAGUUUAGAAGGAGCAACUGAGGUGGGUAUUAGAGAAUGGGUCUCAAAGGUUUUUCAGGUAUGACUAAGCAGGAAGAUACUUAGGGCUGGGUUCCCCAUCCCUUACCUCACCCCCCCACCCCCAAACCUCCUAUCCCAGAACAAGCAGGUGUUUGUGCUCAGAGUUGACUUGAAAGGAUGACUGAGUGAAUUGCAGUUCCUGGCUGGGAACUUGGGGGAGGGACAGGGCAGAUGGUCCAGAUUUCAUAUGAGUUGGGCUCUCAUUUAGCUGAUUAAUUUUGUUUAGUUUUUAACGGAAACCUGUGGUGUAAUAUAAGAUUCUAAUCACUGUCUAAUUACAAAGCAGGAUAAAUCACCAAACAACCUUGUUUAAAAGUAUCUCAAAAUCUGAAAUGUUAUAAAAUAGGAUAAUUACCAAUAGGGCAGAGACCUGCUGUAGAGAGAAUUUCCCCAGGGCAAAAGGAUGAGGGGGCUUCAGAAUCCAUUGAGAUUUGUUUACAAAACAUGUU